AACAAACGCUGGCGGCGUGCCUAAUACAUGCAAGUCGAACGGGGAAAGCUUUCGGGUGAGUACUAGUGGCGCACGGGUGAGUAACGCGUGGAUAAUCUGCCUUGAAGAGGGGGAUAACCAGUCGAAAGAUUGGCUAAUACCGCAUAAGACCACAGGAACUGAGGUUCUAGAGGUCAAAGGUUUUUCGCUUCAAGAUGAGUCCGCGUAAGAUUAGCUGGUUGGUGAGGUAACGGCUCACCAAGGCGACGAUCUUUAACUGGUCUGAGAGGAUGAUCUGGCACACUGGGACUGAAACACGGUCCAGACUCCUACGGGAGGCUGGAGUAGGGAAUAUUGCACAAUGGAGGAAGCUCUGAUGCAGCGACGCCGCGUGAGUGAUGGAGGCCUUCGGGUCGUAAAGCUCUGUCGCAGGGGAAUAACACAAUGAAGGUACCCUGUAAGAAAGGAUCGGCUAACUUCGUGCCAGCAGCCGCCGUAAGAC
rnacentral:rRNA from 1 species